rnacentral:rRNA from 1 species
AUUGAACGCUGGCGGCAGGCCUAACACAUGCAAGUCGAGCGAGCGACGGACGGGUGCGUAAUGUAUGGGGACUGCCCGAUAGAGGGGGAUAACUACUGGAAACGGUAGCUAAUACCGCAUACUAUCGGAUAACCCAUAUGGGAUUAGCUGGUUGGUGAGGUAAUGGCUCACCAAGGCGACGAUCCCUAGCGGGUCUGAGAGGAUGAUCAGCCACACGGGGACUGAGACACGGCCCAGACUCCUACGGAGGCAGCAGUGGGGAAUAGUGCACAAUGGGCGAAAGCCUGAUGCAGCCAUGCCGCGUGUAUGAAGAAGGCCUUAGGGUUGUAAAGUACUUUCAGUCGGGAGGCGGUACCGACAGAAGAAGCACCGGCUAACUCCGUGCCAGCAGCCGCGGUAAUUC